UACCUGGUUGAUCCUGCCAGUAGUCAUAUGCUUGUUUUAAAGAAUAAGCCAUGCAUGUUUCAGUGCAUACCGCAUUAAGGUGAAACCGCGAAUGGCUCAUUAAAUCAGUUAUGGUUCCUUAGAUCGUACCCACUUUUACUUGGAUAACUGUGGUAAUUCUAGAGCUAAUACAUGCAAACCAGAGUCCCGACCAGAGAUGGAAGGGACGCUUUUAUUAGAUCAAAACCAAUCGGUGACGGGUCUCCCGUUCAUCGGUUUCUUUGGUGACUCUGAAUAACUUUGUGCUGAUCGCAUGGUCUCGUACCGGCGACGCAUCUUUCAAAUGUCUGCCUUAUCAACUGUCGAUGGUAGGUUCUGCGCCUACCAUGGUUGUAACGGGUAACGGGGAAUCAGGGUUCGAUUCCGGAGAGGGAGCCUGAGAAACGGCUACCACAUCCAAGGAAGGCAGCAGGCGCGCAAAUUACCCACUCCCGGCACGGGGAGGUAGUGACGAAAAAUAACGAUACGGGACUCAUCCGAGGCCCCGUAAUCGGAAUGAGUACACUUUAAAUCCUUUAACGAGGAUCCAUUGGAGGGCAAGUCUGGUGCCAGCAGCCGCGGUAAUUCCAGCUCCAAUAGCGUAUAUUAAAGUUGUUGCGGUUAAAAAGCUCGUAGUUGAAUCUGUGUGCCACGCUGUCGGUUCAUCGCUCGCGAUGCCUAACUGACAUGAUUGUGGGACGUCCUACCGGUGGACUUAGCCUCUCUCGGGGGGCGGUCCAGAUAAUUCCCAUCGCGGUGCUCUUCAUCGAGUGUCGAGGUGGGCCGGUACGUUUACUUUGAACAAAUUAGAGUGCUCAAAGCAGGCUAUUUUCGCCUGAAUACUGUGUGCAUGGAAUAAUGGAAUAGGACCUCGGUUCUAUUUUGUUGGUUUUCGGAACCCCGAGGUAAUGAUUAAUAGGGACAGAUGGGGGCAUUCGUAUUGCGACGUUAGAGGUGAAAUUCUUGGAUCGUCGCAAGACGGACAGAAGCGAAAGCAUUUGCCAAAAAUGUUUUCAUUAAUCAAGAACGAAAGUUAGAGGUUCGAAGGCGAUCAGAUACCGCCCUAGUUCUAACCAUAAACGAUGCCAGCUAGCGAUCCGCCGAAGUUCCUCCGAUGACUCGGCGGGCAGCUUCCGGGAAACCAAAGCUUUUGGGUUCCGGGGGAAGUAUGGUUGCAAAGCUGAAACUUAAAGGAAUUGACGGAAGGGCACCACCAGGAGUGGAGCCUGCGGCUUAAUUUGACUCAACAC
rnacentral:rRNA from 1 species